AAAGCGCGGGGGGAAAAGGAACGGGGAGGGGCCGCAGGAACGGAGACGGUACCGGAGGCGGGGGGGAGAGGCGUAGUGGGGGCGUCGACGGAGGAGAGGACGGUGGCGCGGCGGGACCGGAGCAGAGGAGACGCGGCGGAGGGGGAGAGGCGGUGACGUACCGGCGGCAGCGAAGGCGGCGAGCAGAGAAAGAAGUGCGUCGUGGACGUCCUGCUGCGUAGGGGUAGGAGGUAGUCGGCGACACCACGCGGUACCAAGAACUGGCCGGCGUCUAGGUCCUCUUCUCCUCCUGCCGCCACCCCCCUUCCUUCUCGCGCCGGACCUGAGCCGUCCUCCUCUCCCCGUCGUCGUCUAGCCCGAGUCCAAUCCGCUCCGACCACCACGAGUCCGAAGUUCCGCACGUAAUGCACCUGUACCUCGCUCGCACCCUGUUCCCGCACCCUGUUCCACUGCCACUGGCCGUGCCGCUCGGUCUUCUUCCACAACGCGCGCCGCGCCGCGUGCUCCUUCGAACGGGUGUGGGGAGGAGGCGAGCGAGAGCAGAGGCAGUCCGACAACUCGAGGACGAAGGAGGAACUAGAAGGGUAACUAAAUCAUGAUGAUGACAUGACACACGAACACAACAAACAAACUCCCCAUGCCGAUGAUGAACACGACGACGAUCUACACACUACAACCAACAUAUACACAAAUUACAACAACCCACGACGACCAAGUUGAUGAUGGACACGACCAACUAAAUUAUAGGCAAAUAAACACUUUGACUUUUGAGGACACUCUCCGUUCCUAACUGUUCUUCCCAGACUCGGUUACUCUUCAAAAUAAAAGUCAAAAGUAUAAAUUCUUCAUUACCUCCUAUACAGUAUACAAAACAACGAUUGUAAAUGGAUACCACAUACAUCGACUACAAGUGAGGUAACCUCGACUCAGAGGAACGGCCGCUGGAACGGUAGUGGUCGGAUAGACGUCCCUACCUGUAUACCUAACUUACCAUGGGAGGACUUUAGAUGUGUCCACAGUCUAAAUUCUUUCUUCUUUAUCCCGGUUCUUAUAAUCUGGCCUCUUGCUUCUCUACUUCUUGUUACAAUCGACUUCUCAACUUCUUCUGGUUCGUGCUCAGGGAGACUUCCCGAGCUGGUGGCAGGCCAAGGUCACCUCCUGUUGUAGUGAAUCGACACCGGUAGGACCCGCGGCGCUCUUAAUCGACUUUUUAGAACGACUCUAGGUCCAGUGACCGGUAGGGGUAAGUCCAUUCGAACGAUAGAAUAACAAUCUAACGAACUGCCUUGACCCUGUUGUAAAACCAUUCGAACGGAAAGUAAAAACAAAAAGAAACUACUAAAAAAACUUUCGUAGAAACUACUUAAUGGGUAUACACCCCUAUAACGUCCACCGAGACUUUGAACAAGGAUUACUUCUAUUUAAAUACCUUCACCAAUCCCUUUGUCCUCCUCGUUAAAAUCGUACCGUCCACGAAGAGUCCAAGCUACCGAAGGCCGUUGUAGUUCCAGUAUCACGAAAGGAGCACCCAAGUCGGAAACUGUAAUUCCACUCCUCACAUAUAAAAACAAGAUAGAUUACAGAGAACGAGGACGAAGUCAUAGCUACUAGAGAGACCUCACUAACAAACUGUUACUGACAGUACAUGGGGGAGGCAAGGAUUUAUAUUCAGAAAAAUCUCUAAGGUUACGUCUGAUGUUUCUGCUUUGAUUAAAAAAACUAGACAAGAUGUGUCUACAAAAGUCAGCGACAAACGAUAUCUAUGAAACAACCAAAGUAUCCGUAUGUACCAAGGCACUCCUCUAAUGGAUGCAACAAGACAAAACAUAUCUUAGGAACGUUAUGACGAAAUGAUAGCAUUUUAUAGGAUCGGCCCAGACGUUCUAACGCGGGAGAAAAAUGGCUCCCGAACUUUCACAAUCUCUUCUAGUGUUCUUCUUCGUAUAGGGGAAAAAAACACGAAGACGGGUGCGGGACAUAUACUACAACGUCGAGUUUUAGAUGUAUUUAGAUGUACAACAACUAGACUAUUCUCUUCCGUUCCUCGACAGGCGCUAGUCAUACAUCAUUACCCGUAGUUAUAAAAGAAUAUGGCCACUAAGACAUCGCCAAUUAACUAUACUAGCGACGUGAGGGGAGGAUAUGAGGAAAUCAGGUAAAUAAGGAUCUCAUAUACAAAAAGAAACCAAUUUUGGAACUUCAUAAUUCUACAAACCCAUUUAAGAGAGUAUUUCGAACGAAAGAGGUAUCAGUACACAUGUACACAAUGAAAUAAAGGACAUCGAUAUAACGAUAAAGGGACCCCUGGACAGGGGAAAAAGGAAGCAAUAUCAUCUUACUAGUCUACUUCCUUUCUUUUUACACAAACUUAAUAGUACGCCCAGAAAUUUGUUAAUACGCACAGAAAUUUGUUAAUAUACAUACCUCAUUCUUGACAUAUAUAUCGAUAACUUUUUCUUGACAUACAUAUCAAUAGCUAUAUACUAAGAACGUAGAAUCCCCAAGUUACCGUGGGCAGAGUACAAAGAAGGUACAAUAAAAAAUGGGCUUAUAAUCCUAGUGUUGAAUUUAAUAGUGAUAUCACAGUUUCCGGCAGUAGACUUCGAUUAUUCUACAAUGAUUUCUUGUUGGGGUACCAUGAACGUGUCAUGCACCUUUUGUGGGAUUUAUCUAAUUUCUUUAGUAUGAGAUGACACUAACGUAAACCAACUACGAAUUCACAUAAAGGGUAGCCAUCUAGUUCCCCCAUUAUAAGAUGUAAAGUCCAGGUUCGAAAUUUACGUAAAAAGAUAGACAAAAAAGUAUAGGGUCACUAGUAGACGUUCUGGCUUAAAACGGUAACAACUACCACGUGUCAAGACAACGUACCAUUUGGGUUAUAACAGGGAGGAAAGUUCGAGGACGCAAGUAGGAUCUCUUUUAACACCUUUUAUGUAGACUUGAUAGAAAAUUAGAAGGUUGUCACAUGACGAUGUCUACCCGAAAUAAGUCAAUAAAAGAACUGAUCUUACUACUACAAACGCCUACCCGCAACAAGUCAGUAUUCUCGAAUAGCCAAGUCGGACGUAUCAAAACAAAGAAGUCACAUGAUACAGACUCCUUUUGUAAAUAAAACAAAGGAUAAAUUCACUUAAGUACCGACUCUACCUACUUAAAGAUAACACACCCGACCUCCAAGAACUCCACCUUUAAUCGUUCGUUCGAUGUCAGCCAGGUACCUACUGGUUCA
rnacentral:rRNA from 1 species